UGGAAAUUGUUUCAUCAUGCACCACUCCUGGAACUCAUUCUUCCAUAGCAUCUCCACCUUCAAUCACCUCUACCAUCUCUCUCAAUGGUAUAAUCUUUGUAAGAAUAACUUCAGUCUUUUUAGGGAACGAGUAACCCUUCUGUGGGUCGGUCCGGGGAUAAGGCGACAUAUGAUUCCUUAAGUACUCCGUGUGACCCUUUGUUAUCACACAGAUAUCAACAUUGCUUCCACUACCAAGAUCAUUGAACACCCCAGACAAUAUGGCCUCCGCUACUAGCUUUAUCCCUUCAUUUUUACUCAACCCUUCCCGGUAUUUUGAUUCAAAGAUAGCCAUAGCUGCAAGGGAACCAGAGCCCAUUGUAGCA
rnacentral:misc_RNA from 1 species